rnacentral:tRNA from 1 species
GGGUCGUUAACUCAGCUGGCAGAGUAUCGGCCUUUUAAGCCGAGAGUCGCAGGUUCGAUCCCUGCACGACCCACCA